AUUGAACGCUGGCGGCAGGCCUAACACAUGCAAGUCGAACGAGUGGCGGACGGGUGAGUAAUGUCUGGGAAACUGCCUGAUGGAGGGGGAUAACUACUGGAAACGGUAGCUAAUACCGCAUACCCUCGGAUGUGCCCAGAUGGGAUUAGCUAGUAGGUGGGGUAAAGGCUCACCUAGGCCACGAUCCCUCGCUGGUCUGCGAGGAUGACCAGCCACACUGGAACUGGGAAACGGUCCAGACUCCUACGGGAGGCAGCAGUGGGGAAGAUUGGACAAUGGGCGAAAGCCUGAUGCAGCCAUGCCGCGGGUAUGAAGAAGGCCUUCGGGUUGUAAAGUACUUUAAGCGGGGAGGCGUUACCCGCAGAAGAAGCACCGGCUAACUCCGUGCCAGCAGCCGCGGUAAUAC
rnacentral:rRNA from 1 species